UGGGAUGUAGCUUAGUGGUAAAGCACAUGUUUAGCAUGCACAAGGCCCUGGGUUCAAUCCCUAGCAUUCCUU
rnacentral:tRNA from 1 species